UACGAAGGGUGCAAGCGUUACUCGGAAUUACUGGGCGUAAAGCGUGCGUAGGCGGUUUGUUAAGUCUGUCGUGAAAGCCCCGGGCUCAACCUGGGAAUGGCGAUGGAUACUGGCGAGCUAGAGUACGGUAGAGGAGAGUGGAAUUCCCGGUGUAGCAGUGAAACGCGUAGAGAUCGGGAGGAACAUCAGUUGCGAAGGCGGCUCUCUGGACCAGUACUGACGCUGAGGCACGAAAGCGUGGGGAGCAAACAGG
rnacentral:rRNA from 1 species